AGAUUGAACGCUGGCGGCAGGCCUAACACAUGCAAGUCGAGCGGUAGAGAGGUGCUUGCAUCUCUUGAGAGCGGCGGACGGGUGAGUAAUGCCUAGGAAUCUGCCUAGUGGUGGGGGAUAACGUUCGGAAACGGACGCUAAUACCGCAUACGUCCUACGGGAGAAAGCGGGGGACCUUCGGGCCUCGCGCCAUUAGAUGAGCCUAGGUCGAUUAGCUAGUUGGUGAGGUAAUGGCUCACCAAGGCGACGAUCCGUAACUGGUCUGAGAGGAUGAUCAGUCACACU
rnacentral:rRNA from 1 species